rnacentral:rRNA from 1 species
UAAUCACUUGUUCUUUAAAUGGGGACUCGUAUCAACGGCAUCACGAGGGUCGUACUGUCUCCUCUCUCCAAUCAAUGAAACUGAUCUCUCCGUGAAGAAGCGGAGAUUUAUAUAUAAGACGAGAAGACCCCAUGGAGCUUUAAACCCUAUUACACCCUCUAUUUGCAACUUCCACCAAAAUAAUAAGGACCCUGUAAAUCGGUUUUUGGUUGGGGUGACCGCGGAGUACAAGAAAACCUCCACGAUGAAAGGGACUACCCCCUUAUCUAAGAGCUACACCUCUAAGAAUCAGAAUACUGACAUUUAAUGAUCCGAUACUCGAUCAACGAACCAAGUUACCCUGGGGAUAACAGCGCAAUCCACUUCAAGAGCCCUUAUCAACAAGUGGGUUUACGACCUCGAUGUUGGAUCAGGGUAUCCUAGUGGUGCAGCAGCUACUAAAGGUUCGUUUGUUCAACGAUUAAAACCCU